rnacentral:rRNA from 1 species
UGGGGAAUAUUGCACAAUGGGCGCAAGCCUGAUGCAGCCAUGCCGCGUGUAUGAAGAAGGCCUUCGGGUUGUAAAGUACUUUCAGCGGGGAGGAAGGCGAUAAGGUUAAUAACCUUGUCGAUUGACGUUACCCGCAGAAGAAGCACCGGCUAACUCCGUGCCAGCAGCCGCGGUAAUACGGAGGGUGCAAGCGUUAAUCGGAAUUACUGGUGGUAAAGCGCACGCAGGCGGUCUGUCAAGUCGGAUGCGAAAUCCCCGGGCUCAACCUGGGAACUGCAUUCGAAACUGGCAGGCUAGAGUCUUGUAGAGGGGGGUAGAAUUCCAAGUGUAGCGGUGAAAUGCGUAGAGAUCUGGAGGAAUACCGGUGGCGAAGGCGGCCCCCUGGACAAAGACUGACGCUCAGGUGCGAAAGCGUGGGGAGCAAACA